UUGCUUCAGCUGCACAUAUGCAAACACUGGAAUGAUGCAGAGAUUAGCAUGGCCCCUGGGCAAGGAUGACACAGGUGAAAAAAGGAACAUGUUGAC
rnacentral:snRNA from 1 species